GCUCAUCUCUUCACUGUCACUGCUCAACACCAUCGUCGUAUCCUCUGUCACCAGUUCAAAGGUGUGUAUGAUUUUGAUAGUGAUGAUGAACUGCAAUGGCUAAUUGAGAUACAGAAGGUGCUGGAAAUUUCAUACGUGCAUGCUAAACUAGGGAAAUCAUUCUGUAGGAAAGUGUCGAUUUCUCUGCUUCUUUUCUUCCUUCUUAAUACCUUUCAUUGAUUGUAAUUAUGUAGAUUUCGAUUUUCAAUUUUGCAGUUUAUCUCCUUUUGUUUUUCAGCAAAUCGUUGAUCAAACAAUCAAGGAAUCGGAUCAAUGUGAUAAGGAGAAAGAGAAAUUCAGCAAAGAAGUUUCUUAAGCAAGACACCAUUGAUCUGCUUGCGAAUCAUUUACAGUAUUGAAACUGUUCAAGUGGAUUUGGCAUGUUAUCACACAAGGUUGUGCACCUGAUUCAAGGCAUAAACGAGCAAAA